GACGAACGCUGGCGGCGUGCUUAACACAUGCAAGUCGAACGGAAAGGCCCUGCUUUUGUGGGGUGCUCGAGUGGCGAACGGGUGAGUAACACGUGAGUAACCUGCCCUUGACUUUGGGAUAACUUCAGGAAACUGGGGCUAAUACCGGAUAGGAGCUCCUGCUGCAUGGCGGGGGUUGGAAAGUUUCGGCGGUUGGGGAUGGACUCGCGGCUUAUCAGCUGGUUGGUGGGGUAGGGGCUGACCAAGGCUUUGACGGGUAGCCGGCCUGAGAGGCGGACCGGGCACAUUGGGACUGAGGUACGCACCAGACUGCUACCGGAGGCAGUAGUGGGGAGCAUUGCACAGUGGGCGGAAGCCUGAUGCAGCAACGCCGCGUGCGGGAUGACGGCCUUCGGGUUGUAAACCGCUUUCGCCUGUGACGAAGCGUGAGUGACGGUAAUGGGUAAAGAAGCAACGGCUAACUACGUG
rnacentral:rRNA from 1 species